rnacentral:rRNA from 1 species
GGGUGCGAUCAUACCAGCACUAAUGCACCGGAUCCCAUCAGAACUCCGCAGUUAAGCGUGCUUGGGCGAGAGUAGUACUAGGAUGGGUGACCUCCUGGGAAGUCCUCGUGUUGCGCCCC